GGCAGUGUGGCCAAGUGGUCUAAAAUGCUGUGUUAGGGCUUCAGUUUCUUUAGAGAUCAUGGUUCAAAUCCCUCCACUGCCA